CUUCCAGUAGCACCUUAGAGACCAGCUAAGUUUGUUAUUGGUAUGAGCUUUUGUGUGCAUGCACACUUCUUCAGAUACACACACAUGCACACGAAAGCCCAAACUUAGUUGGUAUCUAAGGUGCUACUGGAAG